rnacentral:rRNA from 1 species
AGAUUUCCGGUUGAUCCUGCCGGACCCGACUGCUAUCGGAUUGGGACUAAGCCAUGCGAGUCAACUCCGCAAGGGGUGGCGCACGGCUCAGUAACACGUAGUCAACCUACCCUAGGGACGGGGAUAACCUCGGGAAACUGAGGCUAAACCCCGAUAGGCUAUAGCCUCUGGAAUGAGCUAUAGCUGAAAUCUAUAUGGCCCUAGGAUGGGACUGCGGCCGAUCAGGUAGUUGGUGGGGUAAUGGCCCACCAAGCCUAUAACCGGUGCGGGCUCUGAGAGGAGGAGCCCGGAGAUGGGCACUGAGACAAGGGCCCAGGUCCUAUGGGGCGCAGCAGGCGCGAAACCUCCGCAAUGGGCGAAAGCCCGACGGGGUUAGUCCGAGUGGUCCCUGCUGAAGGGGCCUUUUGCCAGCUGUAAAAAGGCUGGCGAAUAAGGGGUGGGCAAGUUUGGUGUCAGCCGCCGCGGUAAUACCAGCACCCCGAGUGGUCGGGACGAUUAUUGGGCCUAAAGCAUCCGUAGCCGGCUUAGCAAGUCCUCCGUUAAAUCCAACGGCUUAACCGUUGGGCUGCGGAGGAUACUGCUAAGCUA